GUGAGUCAUCGAAUCUUUGAACGCACAUUGCGCCUGCCAGUAUUCUGGCGGGCAUGCCUGUUCGAGCGUCAUUUCAACCAUCAAGCCAUAGGCUUGUGUUGGGGCCCUGCGGCUGUCCGCAGCCUCCUAAAUCUAGUGGCGGUCUCGCUAUCAUACCGAGCGCAGUAGCGUAAUCUUCUCGCUCUGGGCGUGAUAGCGGGCACCCUGCCGUAAAAGCACAUAUUUCAAGGUUGACCUCGGAUCAGGUAGGAAUACCCGCUGAACUUAAGCAUAUCAAUAAGCGGAGGA
rnacentral:misc_RNA from 1 species